rnacentral:rRNA from 1 species
GACGAACGCUGGCGGCGUGCUUAACACAUGCAAGUCGAACGGAGAGGGCGCUUUGGGGGUCCUCGAGUGGGGAGCGGGCGAGUAAGACGUGCGUAAGCAGCCCUUGAGUUCGGGAGAACUACAGGAAACUAGGGCUAAUAACGGACAGGAAACAUUACUGGAUGCAGGGGGUUGGAAAGCUGCGGGGGUUUUGGAUGGACCCGCGGGGUAUCGGCUUGUAGGUGGGGUAGGGGCUGACCAAGGCUUAGCCGGGUAGCCGGCCUGAGAGGGCGACCGGCCCCAUUGGGCUUGAGGUACGGCCCGUACUCCUACGUGAGGCAUCGGUGGGAAAUAUUGCACACUGGGCGGAGGCCUGAUGCAGCAUCGCCGCGUGCGGGAUCACGGCUUUCGGGGUGUAAACCGCUUUCAGCAGGAGCGAACCUUUUGUGACGGUACCUUCACAAGAAGCACCGGCUAACUACGUG